rnacentral:rRNA from 1 species
UACGUAGGGUGCAAGCGUUGUUCGGAAUUACUGGGCGUAAAGGGCGCGUAGGCGGCCUGCUAAGUCGAACGUGAAAUCCCUCGGCUUAACCGGGGAACUGCGUCCGAUACUGGUUGGCUUGAGUUUGGGAGAGGGAUGCGGAAUUCCAGGUGUAGCGGUGAAAUGCGUAGAUAUCUGGAGGAACACCGGUGGCGAAGGCGGCAUCCUGGACCAAUACUGACGCUGAGGAGCGAAAGCCAGGGGAGCAAACGGG